GGAAACUUGUUGAAACAAGCAUGACUCAAGACAAACAUCUUCUGUGUUCUCUCCUACGCAGUGUUUGUUCAUUGAAGCUAUGAAGAGGACCACAAAAGGACAGGGAAAUAUGCAUAUUGACUGCAGUCCACCCAGUGACCUGAAGAUUAGCAUGUAUGAGCAGUGGUCACUCUGGACUGGACUCUAA
rnacentral:lncRNA from 14 species